UACGUAGGGUGCAAGCGUUGUCCGGAAUUAUUGGGCGUAAAGAGCUCGUAGGCGGUUUGUCGCGUCGGAUGUGAAAACCCGGGGCUCAACUCCGGGCCUGCAUUCGAUACGGGCAGACUAGAGUUCGGUAGGCGAGUGGAAUUCCUGGUGUAGCGGUGAAAUGCGCAGAUAUCAGGAGGAACACCGAUUGCGAAGGCAGCUCGCUGGGACGUUACUGACGCUGAGACGCGAAAGCGUGGGGAGCAAACAGG
rnacentral:rRNA from 1 species